UAAAAAAUUACCGUUAAUUUACGGCCUAAUUUUACGGUACUGAACUGUUUUAUAAAUUUACAGUUUCUUGCCGUAAAUGGUUGCAUGAGUGGUGAGCGUGGGGGAGGAACUGCACUGAAAUUACUGAGUGGUAUGUGUUGGCCACUUAUUAAUAUGCAUUUUCUGUCUGGACUUGUAUUAUAAAGACUGAAUAAUUUUGAAACGUCAUCAGUAGAUGGCCAAGUACUGUUCCAAUUCAAAGUUAACUUCUAGCAAAGAACAGUUAAAAUCCUAUAUGUGUUCCUACAUCAUACCUUUAAUCGAGGACCCUUAUGAAAAUUAACCAUGUUGUCUUGCUUUAUUGAUUGGCAAAACAUGGUUUUACUACAGUAAACGUUUGUUUUGGACUGCAUAACUCCUUUAAUAUAACCAUAAAUAAUGUCAUAAAAGGUCUGUUCAUUCAAUAAACCGGGCAAAAUCUGUAUGAACGUAUACGUAGAAAUAAUAUUGAGGACACACUGCACGAUAAUGAAACCUUUAGUUUGAUUAAAAGUCGAUUAAUAUUUCUGUUUUUAUUAAAUAAAUAUUCUAUGUUGGCUCUAAACAGGCAACUUUCUUUCUUGGAAGCAGCACUGGAAGAAGCACUUUACUUUCAUCUUUUAUAUCUUUAUUUACUUUUAUUAUGUUAUUAUUGGCGGAGGCGCGUAAGGCGCGUGUCCGUAUACCGAAUGCUUUGAUCACGUGAUUAUUCAAACCAGGAGACGCGCAAUCUGGAUUAACCGCUGUUCUCCUCAGACGAGUGUUUCGGUGGUAUUAUGAGAUCCCUUUCUUGGUGUGUCUUGAUGUUUUAUAUUGGCUAAAGACAAGAUGUGUCUGCAAAUGCUGGUUCCAUGUCACAUUGCUUAUUCGAGACUAGAUCUACAAAUAACACUGCAGAUUUUGUUACCAUCAACUUGCAUUAUACAACUGACAGACUGAAACGGUUGGACUCAAAAAUCUACAUUUGUGUUCCACUGGAGAAACAAAGUCACCUACAUCUUGGAUGGCCUGGGGACUACCUGACCUGUUCCUGUUAAGAGCUAGUCACUCUUUGUGGAAUGUUCCUGGCCCAUUUUUCCCAAGUUUUCACAAAAGUUUUUUCAAUGACCUCAAAAUUGAUGUGUAA